GUCUCUGUUUUCCCUCACCCCAUCUCACUUUUUCCUUCUCUCUGUUCAACAGAUUUACACUGACUGGGCCAACCACUACCUAGCAAAAUCAGGCCACAAGCGGCUGAUCAAGGACUUGCAACAAGACAUUGCAGAUGGAGUACUCCUAGCAGAAAUCAUCCAGAUUAUUGCAAAUGAAAAAGUUGAAGAUAUCAAUGGAUGUCCUAGAAGUCAGUCUCAGAUGAAUUGGAAAUAACUACUUUAAAGUUCAUAUGGAACCAAAAAAGGGCCUGCAUUGCCAAGACAAUCCUAAGCCAAAAGAACAAAGCUGGAGGCAUCACACUACCUGACUACAAGCUAUACUACAAGGCUACAGUAACCAAAACAGCAUGGUACUGGUACAAAAACAGAGAUAUAGACCAAUGGAACAGAACAGAGCCCUCAGAAAUAAUACCACACAUCUACAACCAUGUGAUCUUUGACAAACCUGACAAAAACAAGAAAUGGGGAAAGGAUUGCCUAUUUAAUAAAUAGUGCUGGGAAAACUGGCUAGCCAUAUGUAGAAAGCUGAAACUGGAUCCCUUUCUU
rnacentral:lncRNA from 10 species